AUUUCUGGAGAAAUAAAAUGAGAAGAAAAAGAGUUCAGAUUAGACGAGUGAAUAAACGAGUGAAUUCUUUGUUUUCUUUCUCUUUAUGUAAAGAACUCUCAUCUGUCUGGAUUUUAAUGUCUUUGUCUGUUUCUUAUUAAUGCUUCACAUUUUGAGAUUUGAACCUAAGAAGGUGGAGGAGCCUCAGAAGGUCAGAGUCACCGAACACCUGAGUGUCAAAGUGAGAUCAUCUGGAACAUCUGGAAUAGAUGAGCUCCUGUUUCUUAUGUCUGCGAACAGACUUGACGAUGACCAUGGAGAGGAUCACCAGAGCCAGCAUCCCUCCUAUAGAUGCUCCGACUGCCACUGCGAUGGUGGAGUCUCUGGGAGGAGGCACUGCACACACAACCACCAGGAGGUUCAUCAGGAUCGUUAAGAACACACACGUGUGAUGGAGGCAUCGUGGACGUCAUUCAAACACAAAAGGGAAGUAGGAUCAUCUCUGGACCCCAGAAUAGGACCAAGUGAAAGUGAGUGAGAGAUUUUAAUCUUAUUUUCUUUUUUAAAUAAACACCAUUUGUUAAUAUUGAGUAAGAACUCGUCUGCAUCACAUGAUCACAUCCUGCACCGUCCGGGCUCGAGGGUCCUCCAGAGAGCUCGUGUUUGUGCAAACUAAACCGGAUUUAUUCUGGAAAACCAAAUAUGAUUCUUUUGCUUGCUGCUAUUUUCAUUUUUAUUCCUCCGUCUAAAAGAGCUUCACUUCAUGUUAACUGUAGGUUCUCCAUUUAAUAGCAGAAUUGUGGAACUACUUUUGCCUUAUGAAAGUUGUUCCUGAUGUCUCAGUGUUCACACUUACACUCAGU